AUUGAACGCUGGCGGCAGGCCUAACACAUGCAAGUCGAGCGGAUGAACGGAGCUUUUUCUUGUCUUCAGCGGCGGACGGGCGAGUAAUUCCUACGUUUCUGCCUGGCAGUGGGGGAUAACGUCCGUACACGGGCGCUAAUAUCGCAUACGUCCUUAGUUUGAAAGUGGGGGUUCUUCGGACCUCACGCUUCUAGAUGUGCCUAGGUCGGAUUAGCUAGUUGGUUAGGUAAAGGCCUACCAAGGCGACGAUCCGUAACUGGUCUGAGAGGAUGAUCAGUCACACUGGAACUGAGACACGGUCCAGACUCCUACGGGAGGCAGCAGUAGGGAAUAUUGGACAAUGGGCGAAAGCCUGAUCCAGCAAUGCCGCGUGAGUGAAGAAGGUCUUCGGAUUGUAAAGCACUGUAAGUUGGGAGGAAGGGAAGUAAGUUAAUACCUGGAUAUUUUGACGUUACCAAAAGAAUAAGCACCGGCUAACUUCGUG
rnacentral:rRNA from 1 species